GACCGUUUCCUUCUCUUCUGGUUGGCCGCAUGAUGGUCUCUCUCUCUCGUUCGCUCUCCACCCGUCGCUUCCUCUCGUCUGCCCGUCUUAAAGAGGGAAGCGGAGAGAGCGCUUGAGGACGAGAAGGAAGUCGAUCACGUAACGGUGACUCUCUAAUCUUUCAUCAAUUUCUUUUCAUCUCUUUUGCUUAUCUAUAGUUUAAAGUGAUUGUUUUUGGGAAUUUCUUCGUGGACCUUUUUCGGAUUGGUCGUUUCUUGUGGCGUUAAUGGGCUAUUGUUUUUCUCCUGAUCCUGGAGAGUCCGAAAUUUUAUCUUCUCUCUGUGCUUUGCGGCCGAUACAGAUCCUUUUUUAUUGGUUGCUCCUAGGUUUGACGGCCUGAUACAGUUGCGAAAGAGAUGGGUUUGAUCUUUCAUAUAUCAGUUCUUUGAUCUGGUGUUUAGAUUUUAUCUGCCCGAACCCUUUAAUCAGAUAAUCUGAUGUAACCAAAGCUCUGCAGUCCUUUCUGGAUGAUUUCCUUUUUAUCGAUAUGAUGUCUAGUCCAAAUCUAGGUAGCUUUUGAAGCUAGGGAUCUUUCUAACCUCAUGGUUCAGGUCUUGCUCUAGCAGAUUAUGCAGGUUACUUUAUAAAUUUGUUCAUCUUACUUAAAGCCUACACAUUGUAUAUAAUGUGUAGCCAGUGUUUAUCUACCUAACAUUUACCUUUCAGAGACAUGAAUAUUUGAUAUGCUAUAUAAUUUAGGGAUCAAUUUUUUACCUCUAAAGCAUGCGCAAGUUGAGCCUUGGCACCUGAUUGUUGGGAUGGCCAAGACUUGAUUGAGUCAAGGAUACAGCCUCUCUGUUCUGCUGGGUCAAGACUAUCCUAACCAGACCCCAUAAUGAAGGGAGCAUCAUGUAUCAGCCAUUCUUUUGAUAUGAAUUAUAUAUACAGCAAUAUGUAAUAACAUGAUAUAUUCACAUUGAUUUUUUGUUCAUAAUUUUAGAAUUCUCAAGGUAAAACAGAUACCUUAAAAGUCGAAAAAUGCUUUGGC
rnacentral:lncRNA from 1 species